UACAGAGGGUGCGAGCGUUGUUCGGAAUUACUGGGCGUAAAGCGCGCGCAGGCGGCCCUUUAAGUCUACCCGUGAAAUGCCGGAGCUCAACUCCGUGCACGCCGGGGGAUACUGGGGGGGCUGGAGACAUGUAGAGGCAAGCGGAAUUCCGGGUGUAGCGGUGGAAUGCGUAGAUAUCUGCAAGAAUACCCGUGGCGAAGGCGGCCAGCCUGGGCCGGUUCUGACGCUGAGGUGGCGAAAGCGUGGGGAGCAAACAGG
rnacentral:rRNA from 1 species